CGCGGGGUAGAGCAGUUUGGUAGCUCGUUGGGCUCAUAACCCAAAGGUCGCUGGUUCAAAUCCAGCCCCCGCAACCA
rnacentral:tRNA from 1 species